AAGGUAUAAAUAAUUUUUUCAAAAAAUUAUUAAAAAUGAAAACAAAAGAUAAAAAGAUAAAUAAUACUUCAGAAGAAUCCUGUGAAAUUAUGGAUAAUAAAAAUAUUAAAAAAAGAAAAUCAAAAGAUGAGUCUCCAAUCAAAG